CUCUGAGGGACCCCGUCGGCACUCCUCAAGUUCUCGCGAUAAUCUUCCAGUCCAGGACUCCACUGUGCUGAGAGAAUGAACUCUGGAGUCAGACUUGCAAGGUAGAAAUCCUGGUCAUAUAUGCGAGCUGGGAGACCUUAGCAGACACUCUCUGCGUAGGAUCAUCAUGCCGAGCAUAAACUGGACUUUCCCACUUGCCUGGCAGGAGUGACACAGAUCACUGUGUGCAAAAUGAGCAUUUGAGGUCAAGACUUGCUUCUCAUAGUGUGGUCUACAGACUAGCAGCAUUAUCAUCAUCUGGAACCAGAUUCCAGAGAUUAAGAGGUAAAUGUCUUUGCUGCUGCUACUGCUGCUGCUAAGUCGCUUCAGUUGUGUCCGACUCUGUGCCACCCCAUAGAUGGCAGCCCACCAGGCUCCCCCGUCUCUGGGAUUCUCCAAGCAAG